GACGAACGCUGGCGGCGUGCUUAACACAUGCAAGUCGAACGGAAAGGCCCUGCUUUUGUGGGGUGCUCGAGUGGCGAACGGGUGAGUAACACGUGAGUAACCUGCCCUUGACUUUGGGAUAACUUCAGGAAACUGGGGCUAAUACCGGAUAGGAGCUCCUGCUGCAUGGUGGGGGUCGGAAAGUUUCGGCGGUUGGGGAUGGACUCGCGGCUUAUCAGCUUGUUGGUGGGGUAGUGGCUUACCAAGGCUUUGACGGGUAGCCGGCCUGAGAGGGUGACCGGCCACCUUGGGACUGAGAUACGGCCCAGACUCCUACGGGAGGCAGCAGUGGGGAAUAUUGCACAAUGGGCGGAAGCCUGAUGCAGCAACGCCGCGUGCGGGAUGACGGCCUUCGGGUUGUAAACCGCUUUCGCCUGUGACGAAGCGUGAGUGACGGUAAUGGGUAAAGAAGCACCGGCUAACUACGUG
rnacentral:rRNA from 1 species